UACGGAAGGCAGCAGUGGGGAAUAUUGCACAAUGGGCGCAAGCCUGAUGCAGCCAUGCCGCGUGUAUGAAGAAGGCCUUCGGGUUGUAAAGUACUUUCAGUCGUGAGGAAGGUGUUAAGGUUAAUAACCUUAGCAAUUGACGUUAGCGACAGAAGAAGCACCGGCUAACUCCGUGCCAGCAGCCGCGGUAAUACGGAGGGUGCGAGCGUUAAUCGGAAUUACUGGGCGUAAAGGGCACGCAGGCGGUUAAUUAAGUUGGAUGUGAAAUCCCCGGGCUUAACCUGGGAAUGGCAUUCAAGACUGGUUAGCUAGAGUCUUGUAGAGGGGGUAGAAUUCCAUGUGUAGCGGUGAAAUGCGUAGAGAUGUGGAGGAAUACCGGUGGGCGAAGGCGGCCCCUGGGACAAAGGACUGACGCUCAUGUGCGAAAGCGUGGGGAGCAAAC
rnacentral:rRNA from 1 species